GACGAACGCUGGCGGCGUGCCUAAUACAUGCAAGUAGAACGCUGAAGCGAGGAGCUUGCUCUUCUUGGAUGAGUUGCGAACGGGUGAGUAACGCGUAGGUAACCUGCCUUGUAGCGGGGGAUAACUAUUGGAAACGAUAGCUAAUACCGCAUAACAAUGGAUGACACAUGUCAUUUAUUUGAAAGGGGCAAUUGCUCCACUACAAGAUGGACCUGCGUUGUAUUAGCUAGUAGGUGAGGUAAUGGCUCACCUAGGCGACGAUACAUAGCCGACCUGAGAGGGUGAUCGGCCACACUGGGACUGAGACACGGCCCAGACUCCUACGGGAGGCAGCAGUAGGGCAUCGUCGGCAAUGGGGGCAAACCUGACCGAGCAACGCCGCGUGAGUGAAGAAGGUUUUCGGAUCGUAAAGCUCGGUUGUAAGUCAAGAACGGGUGUGAGAGUGGAAAGUUCACACUGUGACGGUAGCUUACCAGAAAGGGACGGCUAACUACGUG
rnacentral:rRNA from 1 species